rnacentral:rRNA from 1 species
CAUUAAAGCGGUACGCGAGCUGGGUUCAGAACGUCGUGAGACAGUUCGGUCCCUAUCCGUCGUGGGCGUAGGAAAUUUGAGAGGAGCUGUCCUUAGUACGAGAGGACCGGGAUGGACAUACCUCUGGUGUACCAGUUGUCGUGCCAACGGCAUAGCUGGGUAGCUAUGUGUGGACGGGAUAAGUGCUGAAAGCAUCUAAGCAUGAAGCCCCCCUCAAGAUGAGAUUUCCCAACUUCGGUUAUAAGAUCCCUCAAAGAUGAUGAGGUUAAUAGGUUCGAGGUGGAAGCAUGGUGACAUGUGGAGCUGACGAAUACUAAUCGAUCGAAGACUUAAUCAAAA